rnacentral:rRNA from 1 species
AUUGAACGCUGGCGGCAUGCCUUACACAUGCAAGUCGAACGGCAGCACGGGAGCAAUCCUGGUGGCGAGUGGCGAACGGGUGAGUAAUAUAUCGGAACGUGCCCAGUCGUGGGGGAUAACGUAGCGAAAGCUACGCUAAUACCGCAUACUAUCUAUGGAUGAAAGCGGGGGAUCGCAAGACCUCGCGCGAUUGGAGCGGCCGAUAUCAGAUUAGGUAGUUGGUGAGGUAAAGGCUCACCAAGCCGACGAUCUGUAGCUGGUCUGAGAGGACGACCAGCCACACUGGGACUGAGACACGGCCCAGACUCCUACGGGAGGCAGCAGUGGGGAAUUUUUGGACAAUGGGCGCGAAGCCGUGAUCCACGCAAUGCCGCGUGCAGGAUGAAGGCCU